rnacentral:lncRNA from 1 species
CACAGUUCUAGGUACUUUUCCUCCAUUAUAGACAAAUUCUGCUAUGUGGCAGGCAGAAGACUUGACCAUUGCUUGAGAAUUAAAGAAGACCUUAAAGGAGGAGGACAAUGAGUGGAAAUGAGGGUUAAAAGUUGCAAAGAGUUAUUGCUGGAGAGAGAUUUUUGGAGACAAAAAGCCCUGCAAGUUGGAGAAAACGGCAUUCUGAUGGCUGAAGAGACUAUUAAACACAUUGAUGGAGAAUUUACUACCCUGCUGUUCCAGAGUAAUGUCAUACACAAAAAGUCCUUCUCCAAAUUUGGUCCUGCACUUGCCAACUCUGCUAAAUCCCUCUCAUUAGGUUAAUUAGUAGUGUUAGGAAAAUAAAAGGCUAUUGAAGAAAUGA